CAGGAAAUCAGUUUACUUUUUAUUUAGAUAAAAUCUGAAAGCCAGGUGGUGGUGGCACACCCCUUUAAUCCCAGCACUUGGGGAAGAGGGCAGAGGGAGAUCUGUGAGUUCCAAGCCAGCCUGGUCUAUAUAAUGAGUUCCAGGACAGCCAAGGCUGUGUAGAGAGACCUUUCUCAAACAAAAACAAGAACAAACAAACAAAAAAACCAACAAAACAAACAAAACGACAAAACUUAGAGGAAGCACGCCUGUCUUUUUGUCUUCCUGCUAUCUGCCGUGGUGGCAUUCACUUUUAAAAUCUUCCGGUCCAGCCAAGUAUAGAGAAGCCUAUGUUAGGGGCUGGAAAGAUGACUCAGCAGUUAUGAGCACUGGCCAUUCUUCCUAAGACCCCAGGUUCAAAUCCCAACCCCCAUGUGGGAGCUCACGACUGUCUGUAAUUCUAGCUCUAGGGGAAUCUGACACCCUUACACACAGACUGACAUUCAUGGAAAACACCAGUGAAUACAAUAAUAGUAACGACAACAACAACAGAAGCCUCACGAUAAAAGGGCAAACAAGGGUAUCUUCUCAGCACUCACACAGCAGAGCACAGUUGUCUCCAGUUCCAUAGGAUCCAGCGCCCUCUUCUGGCCUCCAUGGCUCCAGCACACAUCCAGGCAAAACACUUAUGCACAUACAUUUUUUUUUAACGGAAAUGUUUUAAAUGUUUUUAACCUAUUAUUUGAGAAUUUCAUGGAUGUUCACCACGUACUUCAAUUAUAUACACCUUCAGUCCACUCUCCAUCUCACCCUGGACUCCUCUCUACACUACCCUACCUACCAAUCUCAUUCUGGGGCUUCCCUUCUAGAACUGGGCGCUGUGUUUUGCCAAGAGCAGGUUCCUAGAUGGGCUUUAAAAGGCUGACUGACCUUCAACUGACCAAUAAUUGACUUUCUAUUAUCGUCAUUAUCAUUAUUAUUAUUUUUACACUACAGCAACUGGAGAAGUAUAUGUUAUGGUUGUUAUUUGAUUUUGUUGUUGUUGAAGACAAGGUCUUUCUUUGUAGCCCCGGCUGUUCUGCAACUCACAGAGAUCUGUCUGCCUCUGCCUCUUGAGUGCUGGAAUUAAAGGUACGGGCAACCAACCACAUCUUUCUGGCCUUGUUUGAUUUUUAUUUUAUUUAUAUUUUGUGUAUGGGUGUUUUGCAUGCAUGUAUUCUGUGCACUACUUCCAGUGCCCAGAGGAAGCCAAAAGAGGGCGUUGGAUCCCUUGGAACUGGAAUUGCAGAUGGCUGUGAGUCGAUGUGUGGGCACUGAGAAUUGAACCCGGUUCUUCUAGAAGAGCAGUCAGCCAGCCAGCCAGUGUUUUUAACUGUAGAUUCAUCUCUCCAGUCCCUGUCGUUUGAUUUUUGAGACAAAUUCUCACUCCAUUGUUUCAUGCAGUCAAGCUUAAACUUCUGAGCAAUCUUCUGCCUUAGUCAGGGACUACAGGCAAGACAGUCCUUUGUCACAAUGCCAGCUGAAAUACUUAUCAAUGGUAUUUAUCCAAAUAGAUGCUUGCCUGGCCCAGCCUCGGCAUAAAGCCAUAAAAUAUCAUCCUUGUCCAAUACUUGGGAGUACUUAGCUAAAGCAGUAUUUUUCCUUUCUUUAAAAACUCAGGCCGGGUGGUGGUGGUGCACGCCUUUAAUCCCAGCACUUGGGAGGCAGAGGCAGGCGGAUUUCUGAGUUUGAGGCCAGCCUGGUCUACAAAGUGAGUUCCAGAACAGCCAGGACUACACAGAGAAACCCUGUCUCAAAAAACAAAAACAAACAAAAAAACAAAACAAAAAAACCCCCAAAAACUCAGGCAGAAAAGAGCCAGAAGAGUACAGAGGAUCUUAAACCUUCACCCACAGAGCAAAGAUAAGUCAAGGAACCGAAGCAAAUGAAAUACAUUGAGUAAUGUUAUUAUGGUAAAAAUUAAAAUCUAAACAAUGGGGAAAAAAACCAAAAAAAAAAAAAAAAGCCAAAGAUAGAAAUGGCUUAUACAUUUACUCAACCACGGAAGUGACAGGAGUAAAAUAAAGCUGUAUAAAACAAACUAGUCAAAUAACUAAAACAAAAUCAAUAGAAUCGAAUAAAGUGGAAAGGAACAGAUGACGGGAAGAAAUCAGUGAAGAAAUUUGUUGGGCUGUUCCGCGCUGCCGCUAGGUGGCGCUCGGCGCCCCGGGCUCCACGCGGAUUCCCGGUUGCGUCCCGAGACUCUGCCUCUCUGCUGCUUUCCAGAGGGAUCCCGCGGGCUGGCCGUACCCCUUCCCGGCUGUCCCCGCUGGGAAUAGCUUGGAGGUCGUGUGAAGAGUCACAUCGUGGGCAGGAUACCCUGGUGAUAAGGACACAGAUCGCAGCGGGACCACAGCUGUUCCAAUGAUUUUGAUUUCCUUGGUGGGACAGCUACAAUAAAGUUUUUUCUCGUAUAUUAAAGGAUCAACGCGUAUGGAGUGAAAACUCCCCACCUGCAGGGUUGCCUGUUAGCUUCCUGAGGUCUCAGCGGAGAUAUGGACUGUGAGAAAGGACUGCAUUCCUGGGAGGGGAGCGCGGCCCUCCCCAUUCACACUGGGGACCACACAGAGUGCCUCUUGCGCCAAAAGCUGGAAGGUUCGUCGGUUUGGCUUUUCUUUUGACCCGGGCGUUGCAUACGAAAUGUAGAUAUUUUCCUAAACGCCGGCUUUGACAUUUAAUGCGUUCCUAAGUAGUCUGAAAUGUGGACUGGAUUAGGAGGAGGCUAGGGGCCCACCGGGACACUCAGGCAAAUCCCCUUAAAUCCUCCAAGACAAUUGUGUGUCACCACACGGAUUCGCUUUGCCCCAAAUGAGGAGGCUAAUGAACUUCACUGCCUCCUUCCGUGACAGCCCACUCGCACCUGGCCGAGCCUCUGCGCCCGCCUCCCAGCUUUGUGUCAGGGCGUGUUUACUUUGUGUUUACUUUAGGCCAGGCCUGUUGGCUUCUAGGAUCCAGUCUGACCAUUAACUAAGGCACCUAUCCUGGGCCAUUGCUCAACCUUUACUCCACAAGGGGUGAGGGACACAAAUACUGAGGGCCCUGGGACCUUGGGGCUAUUACAGGCCACCCCAUUUCAGGCCCCUUGGAACACUGCUAAGCCCAGAAAGAAAAAUAGCAUGAAACUCUACUUUACAUGGGGAGUAUUUUACCAGCAGGUUAUGCGCCCCCGGAGGCCAGAAGAGGGCAUCAGCUCUAUUGACCUGGAGCUACCUGGUUUCGAGCCACCGUGUGGAUUCUGGGAAUCGAGCACCAUCCUCUGCAUACCUUCAGCUCCUCUCACCCAUCUUCAUAAUUUACUUCUUAUUCUCUCCCCUUCCCCUUUGAGACAGGUCUCAUUAUGAAACCCUGGCUGGCCUGGAAUUUGCUAUACUGUCCAGAAUGGCUUCAAUCUCACAUAUUUCUUUUUUUUUUUUUUCUUUUUUUUCUUUUUUUGGUUUUUCGAGACAGGGUUUCUCUUUAUAGCUCUGGCUGUCCUGGAGCUCACUUUGUAGACCGGGCUGGCCUCAGAAAUCCGCCUGACUCUGCCUCCCAGUGCUGGGAUUAAAGGCGAGCGCCACCACGCCCGGCCAAUCUCACAUAUUUCAAUGUCACUCAAAUUUUGCAAAUUUUUGUUUUUUGUUUGGUUGAGACAGAGUUUCUCUGCUUAGCCCUGGAAGAACUCUGUAGACCAAGCUGGCCUUGAACUCAGAGAUCUGUCAUUCUCUGCCUUCUGGUGUGCUGAGAGGCAGAGACAGGUGGAUUUGUGAGUUUGAGGCUAGUCUGGUCUACAUAGCAAGUUCAAGGGCAUCAGGAAUAGAGACCCUGUUUCAAAAGCAAACACUACUACUGUUAGGAUUUAUGCCAUGGGAGUACCUUGGCAGAUUACAGGCAAGGUUUACCGGAAAGAUCACACCAUGCAACAUAUCUUCUGCAACAGAUUGAUUGACGGGGAGGGGGAAAGGCAGUCUUGGAGAGGGGACAUGAAAGAGAGACAGAGACACCAAGAGAGAGCUAGAAUGAUGGCCAAAACCUUUUCAAAGGUCUGGUGAUGACACAGCUCAGCCACUGAGUCAUUGAGGGUAGGCUUGGGUGCACCUUGUCUCUACCCCACGCCCCCCAGAAAACAAAAACAACACAAACCAACAACAACAAAAACCAAAGCAAAAAUUCUUUAUAACAGUCUUGAGUGCUGGGUCCAACCUCCAUAACUAUGGCGACGUGAACAAGAAUGGCUCUCAUCGACUCAUAUUUGAAUGCUUCAUCUUCAGGGAGUGACACUUCAGGGACUGGGAGGCGUGGCCUUGCUGGCAGAAGUGCAUCACAGGGACAGGCCCAGUGUUUCUCUCCAGUCUCCUCUCCAGCACUACUUCCGUCUUCCUGCCACAAUGUUCCCUGAAAUGAAGAUAAUGAACUGAACCUUAGAAAUUGUAAGCCAGCCCCAAUUAAAUGUUUCCAUUUAUUUAA